GGGGACUUAGCUCAGUGGUAUAAGCACCUGCCUUGCAAGCAGGCAGUUGUGAGUUCGAUUCCUGGUACCA
rnacentral:tRNA from 1 species